rnacentral:rRNA from 1 species
GAUGAACGCUGGCGGCGUGCUUAACACAUGCAAGUCGAACGAUGAAGCCCAGCUUGCUGGGUGGAUUAGUGGCGAACGGGUGAGUAACACGUGAGUAGCCUGCCCUUAACUCUGGGAUAAGCCUGGGAAACUGGGUCUAAUACCGGAUAGGAGCGUCCACCGCAUGGUGGGUGUUGGAAAGAUUUAUCGGUUUUGGAUGGACUCGCGGUCUAUCAGCUUGUUGGUGAGGUAAUGGCUCACCAAGGCGACGACGGGUAGCCGGCCUGAGAGGGUGACCGGCCACACUGGGACUGAGACACGGCCCAGACUCCUACGGGAGGCAGCAGUGGGGAAUAUUGCACAAUGGGCGCAAGCCUGAUGCAGCGACGCCGCGUGAGGGAUGACGGCCUUCGGGUUGUAAACCUCUUUCAGUAGGGAAGAAGCGAAAGUGACGGUACCUGCAGAAGAAGCACCGGCUAACUACGUG